rnacentral:rRNA from 1 species
GACGAACGCUGGCGGCGUGCCUAACACAUGCAAGUCGAGCGAGUGGAGUUCUUCGGAACAAAGCUAGCGGCGGACGGGUGAGUAACACGUGGGCAACCUGCCUCAUAGAGGGGAAUAGCCUUCCGAAAGGGAGAUUAAUACCGCAUAAGAUUGUAGCUUCGCAUGAAGUAGCAAUUAAAGGAGUAAUCCGCUAUGAGAUGGGCCCGCGGCGCAUUAGCUAGUUGGUGAGGUAACGGCUCACCAAGGCGACGAUGCGUAGCCGACCUGAGAGGGUGAUCGGCCACAUUGGGACUGAGACACGGCCCAGACUCCUACGGGAGGCAGCAGUGGGGAAUAUUGCACAAUGGGGGAAACCCUGAUGCAGCAACGCCGCGUGAGUGAUGACGGCCUUCGGGUUGUAAAGCUCUGUCUUCAGGGACGAUAAUGACGGUACCUGAGGAGGAAGCCACGGCUAACUACGUGC